GAUCCUGGCUCAGGAUGAACGCUGGCGGCGUGCUUAACACAUGCAAGUCGAACGAAGCACUUUAUUUGAUUUCCUUCGGGACUGAUUAUUUUGUGACUGAGUGGUGGACGGGUGAGUAACGCGUGGGUAACCUGCCUUGUACAGGGGGAUAACAGUUGGAAACGGCUGCUAAUACCGCAUAAGCGCACGGCAUCGCAUGAUGCGGUGUGAAAAACUCCGGUGGUGUGAGAUGGAUCCG
rnacentral:rRNA from 1 species